rnacentral:siRNA from 1 species
AGGUGGUGCUUCUCGUGUUGCUCC